GACGAACGCUGGCGGCGUGCUUAACACAUGCAAGUCGAGCGGAAAGGCCCUUCGGGGUACUCGAGCGGCGAACGGGUGAGUAACACGUGAGUAACCUGCCCCAGACUUUGGUAUAACCCUCGGAAACGGGGGCUAAUACCGGAUACGACACAGCUUCGCAUGGGGUCUGUGUGGAAAGUUUUUCGGUUUGGGAUGGGCUCGCGGCCUAUCAGCUUGUUGGUGGGGUGAUGGCCUACCAAGGCGACGACGGGUAGCCGGCCUGAGAGGGCGACCGGCCACACUGGGACUGAGACACGGCCCAGACUCCUACGGGAGGCAGCAGUGGGGAAUAUUGCACAAUGGGCGGAAGCCUGAUGCAGCGACGCCGCGUGAGGGAUGACGGCCUUCGGGUUGUAAACCUCUUUCAGCAGGGACGAAGCGUAAGUGACGGUACCUGCAGAAGAAGCGCCGGCCAACUACGUG
rnacentral:rRNA from 1 species